rnacentral:rRNA from 1 species
CGGCAAUGGAGGAAACUCUGACCGAGCAACGCCGCGUGAACGAUGAAGUAUUUCGGUACGUAAAGUUCUUUUAUUAGGGAAGAAUAAGUGAUGGAAAAAUCAUUCUGACGGUACCUAAUGAAUAAGCCCCGGCUAACUAUGUGCCAGCAGCCGCGGUAAUACAUAGGGGGCAAGCGUUAUCCGGAAUUAUUGGGCGUAAAGGGUGCGUAGGCGGUUAAAUAAGUUUAUGGUCUAAGUGCAAUGCUCAACAUUGUGAUGCUAUAAAAACUGUUUAGCUAGAGUAAGAUAGAGGCAAGUGGAAUUCCAUGUGUAGUGGUAAAAUGCGUAAAUAUAUGGAGGAACACCAGUAGCGAAGGCGGCUUGCUGGGUCUUUACUGACGCUGAGGCACGAAAGCGUGGGGAGCAAACAGGAUUAGAUACCCUGGUAGUCCACGCCGUAAACGAUGAGUACUAAACGUUGGGUAAAACCAGUGUUGAAGUUAACACAUUAAGUACUCCGCCUGAGUAGUACGUACGCAAGUAUGAAACUUAAAGGAAUUGACGGGACUCCGCACAAGCGGUGGAUCAUGUUGUUUAAUUCGAAGGUACCCGAAAAACCUCACCAGGUCUUGACAUGCUUCUGCAAAGCUGUAGAAACACAGUGGAGGUUAUCAGUUGCACAGGUGGCGCAUGGUUGUCGUCAGCUCGUGUCGUGAGAUGUUGGGUUAAGUCCCGCAACGAGCGCAACCCUUAUUGUUAGUUACCAGCACGUAAUGGUGGGGACUUUGGCAAGACUGCCAGUGAUAAAUUGGAGGAAGGUGGGGACGACGUCAAAUCAUCAUGCCCCUUAUGACCUGGGCUACAAACGUGAUACAAUGGCUGUUACAAAGAGUAGCUGAA